CCUAACACAUGCAAGUCGAACGGUAACAGGAAGAAGCUUGCUUCUUUGCUGACGAGUGGCGGACGGGUGAGUAAUGUCUGGGAAACUGCCUGAUGGAGGGGGAUAACUACUGGAAACGGUAGCUAAUACCGCAUAACGUCGCAAGACCAAAGAGGGGGACCUUCGGGCCUCUUGCCAUCGGAUGUGCCCAGAUGGGAUUAGCUAGUAGGUGGGGUAACGGCUCACCUAGGCGACGAUCCCUAGCUGGUCUGAGAGGAUGACCAGCCACACUGGAACUGAGACACGGUCCAGACUCCUACGGGAGGCAGCAGUGGGGAAUAUUGCACAAUGGGCGCAAGCCUGAUGCAGCCAUGCCGCGUGUAUGAAGAAGGCCUUCGGGUUGUAAAGUACUUUCAGCGGGGAGGAAG
rnacentral:rRNA from 1 species